rnacentral:lncRNA from 1 species
AAAAUUAAACUAUAAAAAUUACCUAAACUAUGAGACAACCAAAACCAACAGAAGAGCCAUAUAUCUUCAGCUACAAGAAACAUUCCCAUGGAGAGAUAGAUUCAAGUCAGACUGGAUGCUUUGACUUCCAGUCACACUGGUGACAUUGUACUUGAUUGAUAGCACCUUUGUGCAGGGCUGCAUGCUGGGCUCAGUGUUUGCUGAUUGAUUUCUGCCAGCUCCAUCUAUGUGAAGGAGCACCAUGGUCCUGAACUGCACUGCACUUUCCACUAGGGAUGCUGCUGUGUGGGUCACCAGCUGAAAAAUAGUCACCAAAGUCUACAUGAUGAGCCUUUAGUACAGCUGGAGUUCUGGCUGAGCAGAGGGCUUUCAGAAAGACAUUGGUAGGUGUAACUAUCCCCAUUUUACCUGGCAUAUGGCUUCUUGUAGAGGAAAAGAAAUCCCUCCUGCUGAUUUGGUUCAGUUCUCAUGUUUAUAGCGUAAAGGAGUCGGCUCAGAUGGUAGAGCUAUACAAAGCAGCCACUUGCAAAUAACUUACGAAGUAAUUUGCUUAUAGUAGUUCCACAUUUCAUAUAAAAUUCAUCCUAUACUGCCUGCCAAAAUUAUCACAUUUGUCAUUUAAAAUUCUAAAGAUUAUGGGUAUGCUUUCUUCCUUUUUAUUUUUAGUCUAAAAUUGAAGCCAGAGAAGCAUUUUAUAAUGGGAAUUCCAUGUGUCCUAGCAGAGAUGUUUUCUAUUCCUGUUAGACUUGGAAAACCUUCCCAGCAUUGCAGCAGACUCCGGAUCCCUCCUCAGCAUCUCUGUCACAGUGGGACUGGGCAAGGACCCUCAGACACUACUGUCUUUCUGAGGACUUCAGGGAUAUCUCUUGUCGUUCACAACUCAUAGUAAUCUCUAGAUUUUUCAAAGUUCAAAAGGAGCUCAAAUCCAGAGGAAGAGCCAAAAUGAGGAGCUUGCUCUCCCACCUGAGUCAUCUGUGUGUUACCCGUCUGUUAUCCAGAAGUACUCAGUCCUAGCAAACUGAAGCAUAUACUUCAUGUAGAAGAGAAAUUUUAAAUUAUAAAUCCUAGUACCUUUUUCUUAAAAGAUUUUUAAAAUUUACUUAACAUGUAUGAGUGCUCUAUCUGCAUGUGCACUUUCAUGUCAGAAGAUGGCAUCAGGUCACACUAUAGAUGGUUAUGAGCCACCAUGUGGUUGCUGGGGAUGGAGCUCAGGAGCCAUCCCUCCAGCCCCCUUGUAUUCUUCAUUGCCUUGCAGUUUUAAAUUAUCUAUAAAUUACCAGCUCUGUUCAUCACCACCCCCUACUUAGCUACUUGUAGUGCUUACAUAAUGCUCUGCAAUCCCAGACCAUUAUAUAUUACAAUUCUGACUAAGCUAUAUAUAUACACAUAUCCUAAAUCAUCUCAAUGACAGUGAACUUACUAGAUUUCCAUUUUACUGCUAUUAAAAUAACACAUAGCUCUUUUCAAACUUCUCAAUCUGUUUACUCUUUAGAUGUCAAUCAAAACCAUUUACAUUUAUGAGUGGAUACUUGUAUAUAUUGUAAAAAGGCUAAAUCAAGCAGAUGAGCUCACAUACUAAUUCAGGUGACGAAAGUACUUACAAUUAAUCACUGAGUAGUGUUCAAACUCAUAGUGCAUCCUGUUAGCUAUAGCCAGCAUUGGGGGUUUGAGCUCUGUUAUCUCCCUGGGAGGUUACGCCUUUUGAUACCCUUUCCUGUCUCCUAACAUCACUAUCUCCUACCCAGCAGUGUACUAUUUCCAGGAAAUCAUCCUUUUAUGGUCCACAUUCCACGAGGUUUGUGACAAUUCUCCUUCUGUGCGGCUUAAUUCAUUUAACAACGUCUAGUGCUGUGCUUGUCUUGUAGGAAAGCAUUUCGGUCUCUUAAAGGGCCAAUUAAUAUUUAAUUGCAUAUGCAUACAUGGACCUAUCUUUAUUUUUCAGUCUAUUCAUGUGUAUAUGUGAGCUUUGUAUUUAAUUCAUUUACAGCUUCUUCUUUAAUUAAUCUAAACUUUUGUGUUUAGAGGAACAAAGGAGAUCCGGUUUUAUCACCAUCACUUGUAAAUUACUGAAGCUUUCCACACUGCUUUAUGUUAUUGUUUGUUUGUUUGAGGCAGGAUAUUGUGUAGCCCAGGAUGGCCUCAAACUCACUAUGUAGUGGGUAAUGAUACUGACCUCCUAGUCCUUCUGCUUUGGGAAUUAGAGGCCAGACAUGGGCCGCCGCACCUGCUCAUGCUGUACACUUUUCAUCCUAACAUCCUGGAAAGAUUUAUAGACUUUAUUCUAUUUGAUCUAUUGUUUUAGUAAAGUCACUUUUUAACUUUCUAUAUCCUUUUAAUGUAAUUUGAUCUCUGGUAAUCUUCCAAGGUUUAUCUAUGACAUCAGUCUUAUUCACUUGGUUUUGGGGAAUUACAUCUUUGUGAUUUUAACUUUCUUGGGAAAAUUGUAUCUCUUUUUACUUUAAAGGCUUUUUAUAAUUAUUUAUAAUGUUAUGAUUUAUAAUUACAUCAUUUCUUG